AUUGAACGCUGGCGGCAGGCUUAACACAUGCAAGUCGAGCGGGGUGAUGGUGCUUGCACUAUCACUUAGCGGCGGACGGGUGAGUAAUGCUUAGGAAUCUGCCUAUUAGUGGGGGACAACAUCUCGAAAGGGAUGCUAAUACCGCAUACGUCCUACGGGGGAAAGCAGGGGAUCACUUGUGACCUUGCGCUAAUAGAUGAGCCUAAGUCGGAUUAGCUAGUUGGUGGGGUAAAGGCCUACUAAGGCGACGAUCUGUAGCGGGUCUGAGAGGAUGAUCCGCCACACUGGGACUGGGACACGGCCCAGACUCCUACGGGAGGUAGCAGUGGGGAAUAUUGGACAAUGGGGGGAACCCUGAUCCAGCCAUGCCGCGUGUGUGAAGAAGGCCUUAUGGUUGUAAAGCACUUUAAGCGAGGAGGAGGCUCUUUUGGUUAAUACCCAGAAUGAGUGGACGUUACUCGCAGAAUAAGCACCGGCUAACUCUGUGCCAGCCGCCGCCGUAA
rnacentral:rRNA from 1 species